rnacentral:tRNA from 1 species
GCCCGCUUGGCGGAAUCGGUAGACGCCAGGGACUUAAAAUCCCUUGCCCGCAAGGGCGUGCCGGUUCGAGUCCGGCAGCGGGCACCA